GGAAAUGUAGUCUCUAUGCCAUGGCUGAUUACUGCUUCAGGAGGCAUUUACCGGAGAACGGCUGAACUGAUUUGGACCAAUGAGGCAUGGUUGGAAAGGUCUUUCAAAGAGCUAUUGGAUGAGACCCUGAAGAAUAUGGGUGGGGAUGAGUGGAAUACACAAAUCUGGACUGCCCGAUGACCUUCUAUAACAUGAUUGUUAGCUUACUGCAGUUAAGAAAGAUUUUUAUGUCCAGAGACAGAAUUAUGGUCUGCUGGUCAUGCAUCACAAGCUUUAAAAAUACCUUUAAAUCUACUGAGAGGUGAGAAGUAUCCUGGGAAAAUAGUAAAAGAAGCAUACAGAAACCUUUCGUAUCAUCUUCAAUCAGGUAUUGCUAUGUUUUACAAUGCACCAAGUGUGACAUGGGAUGCUACAUUGGUGAAACCGGACGGAAACUCAACGAAAGGUGGAUCUAAACAGACGUUCCAUCAACCGCCAUAAAGAAAAUGACUACUGCUCCCCAGUUGGACACCAUUUUACCCAAACAGGCCACUCCAUACAUGACCUUACGAUCAAGAUACUGAGAGGGAAUUUCAAAAACACACAAGAGAAAAAGACAUUUGAAGCUAAAAUUAUACAGUUUUAUUGAUUCCAAAAACUGGGGACUCAAUGUGGAUUUGAGCUUUUUAUCUCAUUAUCAAAACUUCUUAUAACCUUUACUGUACUGGAUUCUCUUUUGUAUCUCACUUUGUCCUGCUUAAUUACAGUCUCUCCCCUUCUCCCUCCUCCCUCCCUCCCCCCUUUUCUGAUCCUUAUCUAUUUAGUCUAAACCAUCAUCAAAACCAGUGUAAAGGAAGAGUGGUGCAGUUGCCCAUAGCAACCAAUCAAAUAGCUUCUUUCAUUUUUAACAAGGCCUGAAAAGUGAAAGAAGCAAUCUGAUUGGUUGCUAUGGGCAACUGGGCAACCUUUACUCUUCACAGGUAUUGAUAAAUAUCCCAUUAUGUUCCUAUAGCAGGACAAUUUAUGGCCCAUCUUAGUGUGAAUUCUCCACAUCUAUUGUCUUAACCCCUGCAUAUUUGUGAGAUGUAACCUGUGUCUUCUACUUGUGAGCGUAGAUUUGCUUUGGACUUUAUAAAGGGAGGAUCCCGAAAGCUUGUCUACAAAAUUCUGUUAGUGCAAUAAAAAAAGAUAUAACAAGAUACUGAUUUUUUUUUAGUUUGCAUCUGCAUCAUUGGACUAAUAUGGCUACUCAAAUUUACUACAUAAUGUUUUUCAACAAAUAUUUGUCUUAAUCAUGAACUCAACAGUAUAUCUAUAGCCUUAUCCACCUAGAUCAAUUACAUUCUACAGUUUUUCUAACACUAUUCUUUAAAACAUAACCUUUUUGUCUGCAGUCAAACACAUAUUGCUGUGGUGUCCCAGCACCAAAGGCGGUCCUGUGGCUUCGGACUUCCUCAGACAGACCUGCGGACAGGUGUUGGGCCCACCGAGGGACUGAUUAUUGCUUCUGUUGUGUUCCAGAACUUUACCAAAAGUUUAAUAUAAUUUCAUAGGUAUCAUGUUAUAUGUUAUUUCUAUAUAUGUUAUUUAUAUUUGUUUUUAAGAGUGGAGAUGUGUAAACCCAUGUGACCCUGCCGUCCAAUGGGAAUUCCUAAAUUCUUAGCCAUAUAGAGUAGUGUGGGGAGGAGUUACCGCAGUCUAGCCCUAGUGCUAAGUCUGAGCAAAAGUGUGGUAAAGGUGUGAGGUGUGUGGAGAAGCUCUAAGGGAAGGCCCAGAACAAAUCUAUCUUAUCCAGUCAUUCUGCAAGGAUCUCCCGCACAGUGGAAGUUCAUGCCCUGGCGGAGAAGGCUACAGAACCUUGACAGAACCCUAGCUACCUGGAUCAAUCUUCAAUCCUUUCUCAAGUCAGUAUCAAUCUAUUGGGUGAAAGCACUACAAGUCCCAGCAAGGCAACAGGGCUCCAAUGGGGUUACGCUGCAUCCUCUCCAAUCUGUCUGUGUGUAUUAACAUCUGCACCUUGCUCAGUAAAGACA